rnacentral:rRNA from 1 species
ACUAAGCGUACACGGUGGAUGCCUUGGCAGUCAGAGGCGAUGAAGGACGUGGUAAUCUGCGAUAAGCUUUGGGGAGCCGAUAAACAGGCCUUGAUCCAGAGAUUUCCGAAUGGGGAAACCCAACCGCAUAAGCGGUUAUUCUUUAGCUGAAUACAUAGGCUUUAGAAGGCGAACCCGGGGAACUGAAACAUCUAAGUACCCGGAGGAAAAGAAAUCAAUUGAGAUUCCCCUAGUAGCGGCGAGCGAACGGGGAUUAGCCCUUAAGCAAUUUGGGUGUUAGCGGAAGGCUCUGGAAAGUGCCGCCAUAGUGGGUGAUAGCCCCGUACGCGAAAAUGCCCUUAUUGUGAAAUCGAGUAGGUCGGGACACGAGAAAUCCUGACUGAACUGUCUUCGGACGAGGGGGGACCAUCCUCCAAGGCUAAAUACUCCUGACUGACCGAUAGUGAACCAGUACCGUGAGGGAAAGGCGAAAAGAACCCCGUUGAGGGGAGUGAAAUAGAACCUGAAUCCGUGUACGUACAAGCAGUGGGAGCAAGCACUCUUUAUUUAUAAAGCACGUCUUGUGACUGCGUACCUUUUGUAUAAUGGGUCAGCGACUUAAUUUCAGUGGCAAGGUUAACCGUAUAGGGGAGCCGUAGGGAAACCGAGUCUUAAUAGGGCGUGAAGUCUUUAACGAGACUAGGAGUCGCUGGGAUUAGACCCGAAACCGGGCGAUCUAUCCAUGGGCAGGUUGAAGAUUGAGUAACAUCAAUUGGAGGACCGAACCGACUAUCGUUGAAAAGCUAGCGGAUGACUUGUGGAUAGGAGUGAAAGGCUAAUCAAGCCCGGAGAUAGCUGGUUCUCCUCGAAAGCUAUUUAGGUAGCGCCUCGUGUAUCACCAUUGGGGGUAGAGCACUGUUUGGGCUAGGGGGUCAUCCCGACUUACCAACCCCAUGCAAACUCCGAAUACCAAUGAGUGCAAUCACGGGAGACACACGGCGGGUGCUAACGUCCGUCGUGGAAAGGGAAACAACCCAGACCGUCAGCUAAGGUCCCAAAGUUCUAGUUAAGUGGGAAACGAUGUGAGAAGGCCCAGACAGCCAGGAGGUUGGCUUAGAAGCAGCCACCCUUUAAAGAAAGCGUAAUAGCUCACUGGUCGAGUCGGCUCGCGCGGAAGAUUUAACGGGGCUCAAACUAGACACCGAAGCUACGGGUUUCAGUGGUCAGUUUUCAGUUGUUAGUUAGCAGUUGUAAGUUUAAAAACUGCAAACACAGUAAAAUGUUGGUUGGUUUGCACAAGAGUUUCCAAUAACUCUGAGCAAAACUGACGACCAACAACUGAAAACUGACCAUUGAAGCGGUAGAGGAGCGUUCUGUAAGCCGUUGAAGGUGUAUCGGGAGGUAUGCUGGAGGUAUCAGAAGUGCGAAUGCUGACAUGAGUAACGACAAGGGGAGUGAGAAGCUCCCCCGCCGGAAGACCAAGGGUUCCUGCGCAACGUUAAUCGGCGCAGGGUGAGUCGGCCCCUAAGGUGAGGUCGAAAGACGUAAUCGAUGGGAAACAGGUCAAUAUUCCUGUACCCCUUUUGACUGCGACGGAGUGACGGAGAAGGCUAGGUCAGCGCGGCGUUGGUUGUCCGCGUUUAAGAUCGUAGGCUGGGGACCCAGGCAAAUCCGGGUCCUCAAGGCCGAGAAUUGAUGACGAGGUUCUACGGAACCGAAGUGAUUGAUGCCAUGCUUCCAGGAAAAACUUCUAAGCUUCAGGUCAAAAGGGACCGUACCCCAAACCGACACAGGUGGUCAGGUAGAGAAUACCAAGGCGCUUGAGAGAACUCGGGUGAAGGAACUAGGCAAAAUGGCACCGUAACUUCGGGAGAAGGUGCGCCGGCUUUGGUGAUCGGACUUGCUCCGUAAGCUGAGGCUGGUCGAAGAUACCAGGUGGCUGCGACUGUUUAUUAAAAACACAGCACUGUGCAAACACGAAAGUGGACGUAUACGGUGUGACGCCUGCCCGGUGCUCGAAGGUUAAUUGAUGGGGUUAUCCCUCUUUUAGGAGAGUGGAGAAGCUCUUGAUCGAAGCCCGAGUAAACGGCGGCCGUAACUAUAACGGUCCUAAGGUAGCGAAAUUCCUUGUCGGGUAAGUUCCGACCUGCACGAAUGGCGUAACGAUGGCCACGCUGUCUCCACCCGAGACUCAGUGAAAUUGAAAUCGCUGUUAAGAUGCAGCGUAUCCGCGGCUAGACGGAAAGACCCCGUGAACCUUUACUAUAGCUUCACAGUGGAUUUUGAUGUUGCUUGUGUAGGAUAGGUGGGAGGCUUUGAAGCGWKGACGCYAGUUMDYGUGGAGYCAAYCUUGAAAUACCACCCUGGCAAUAUUGGAGUUCUAACCCAGGUCCUGAAACGGGAUCGGGGACAUUGUGUGGUGGGUAGUUUGACUGGGGCGGUCUCCUCCCAAAGAGUAACGGAGGAGCACGAAGGUUGGCUAAGUACGGUCGGACAUCGUACGGUUAGUGUAAUGGCACAAGCCAGCUUGACUGCGAGAGGUACAUCUCGAGCAGGUACGAAAGUAGGUCAUAGUGAUCCGGUGGUUCUGAAUGGAAGGGCCAUCGCUCAACGGAUAAAAGGUACUCCGGGGAUAACAGGCUGAUACCGCCCAAGAGUUCACAUCGACGGCGGUGUUUGGCACCUCGAUGUCGGCUCAUCACAUCCUGGGGCUGAAGCCGGUCCCAAGGGUAUGGCUGUUCGCCAUUUAAAGUGGUACGCGAGCUGGGUUUAGAACGUCGUGAGACAGUUCGGUCCCUAUCUGCCGUGGACGUUGGAAGUUUGAGAAGAGCUGCUCCUAGUACGAGAGGACCGGAGUGGACGGACCACUGGUGUUCGGGUUGUGUCGCCAGACGCAUUGCCCGGUAGCUAUGUUCGGACGGGAUAACCGCUGAAAGCAUCUAAGCGGGAAGCCCCCUUCAAGAUGAGACUUCCCUGGGCACUAGAUGCCCCUGAAGAGCCGUUAAAGACUAUGACGUUGAUAGGUUGGGUGUGUAAGUGCUGUGAGGCAUUGAGCUAACCAAUACUAAUGACUCGUGCGGCUUGACC